rnacentral:rRNA from 1 species
AGGUAAGCUACUAAGAGCGAAUGGUGGAUGCCUUGACUGGUAAAGGCGAUGAAGGACGUACUAGACUGCGAUAAGCUACGGGGAGCUGUCAAGAAGCUUUGAUCCGUAGAUUUCCGAAUGGGGCAACCCAAUGUAUAGAGAUAUACAUUACCUAUAUAGGAGCGAACGAGGGGAAUUGAAACAUCUUAGUACUCUCAGGAAAAGAAAUCAAUAGAGAUUGCGUCAGUAGCGGCGAGCGAAAGCGCAAGAGGGCAAACCCAGUGCUUGCACUGGGGGUUGUAGGACUGCAAUGUGCAAGAGGUAAGUUUAGCAGAACAUUCUGGAAAGUAUAACCAUAGAGGGUGAUAGUCCCGUAUGCGAAAAACAAACCUUAGCUAGCAGUAUCCUGAGUAGGGCGGGACACGAGGAAUCCUGUCUGAAUCCGGGUCGACCACGAUCCAACCCUAAAUACUAAUACCAGAUCGAUAGUGCACAAGUACCGUGAGGGAAAGGUGAAAAGAACUGAGGUGAUCAGAGUGAAAUAGAACCUGAAACCAUUUGCUUACAAUCAUUCAGAGCCCUAUGUAGCAAUACAGGGUGAUGGACUGCCUUUUGCAUAAUGAGCCUGCGAGUUGUGGUGUCUGGCAAGGUUAAGCAAACGCGAAGCCGUAGCGAAAGCGAGUCUGAAUAGGGCGCUUAGUCAGAUGCUGCAGACCCGAAACGAAGUGAUCUAUCCAUGAGCAAGUUGAAGCUAGUGUAAGAACUAGUGGAGGACUGAACCCAUAGGCGUUGAAAAGCCCCGGGAUGACUUGUGGAUAGGGGUGAAAGGCCAAUCAAACUUCGUGAUAGCUGGUUCUCUCCGAAAUAUAUUUAGGUAUAGCGUUGUGUCGUAAUAUAAGGGGGUAGAGCACUGAAUGGGCUAGGGCAUACACCAAUGUACCAAACCCUAUCAAACUCCGAAUACCUUAUAUGUAAUCACAGCAGUCAGGCGGCGAGUGAUAAAAUCCGUCGUCAAGAGGGAAACAACCCAGACUACCAGCUAAGGUCCCUAAAUCUUACUUAAGUGGAAAACGAUGUGAAGUUACUUAAACAACCAGGAGGUUGGCUUAGAAGCAGCCAUCCUUUAAAGAAAGCGUAAUAGCUCACUGGUCUAGUGAUUUUGCGCGGAAAAUAUAACGGGGCUAAAGUAAGUACCGAAGCUGUAGACUUAGUUUACUAAGUGGUAGGAGAGCGUUCUAUUUGCGUCGAAGGUAUACCGGUAAGGAGUGCUGGAGCGAAUAGAAGUGAGCAUGCAGGCAUGAGUAGCGAUAAUUAAUGUGAGAAUCAUUAACGCCGUAAACCCAAGGUUUCCUACGCGAUGCUCGUCAUCGUAGGGUUAGUCGGGUCCUAAGUCGAGUCCGAAAGGGGUAGACGAUGGCAAAUUGGUUAAUAUUCCAAUACCAACAUUAGUGUGCGAUGGAAGGACGCUUAGGGCUAAGGGGGCUAGCGGAUGGAAGUGCUAGUCUAAGGUCGUAGGAGGUUAUACAGGCAAAUCCGUAUAACAAUACUCCGAGAACUGAAAGGCUUUUUGAAGUCUUCGGAUGGAUAGAAGAACCCCUGAUGCCGUCGAGCCAAGAAAAGUUUCUAAGUUUAGCUAAUGUUGCCCGUACCGUAAACCGACACAGGUGGGUGGGAUGAGUAUUCUAAGGCGCGUGGAAGAACUCUCUUUAAGGAACUCUGCAAAAUAGCACCGUAUCUUCGGUAUAAGGUGUGGUUAGCUUUGUAUUAGGAUUUACUCCGAAAGCAAGGAAACUUACAACAAAGAGUCCCUCCCG